UUUGUUUAUAUUUACUUUUGUGUACUUUGCUGAUUCGGAUUCUUCAGUUGAUUACGAGUAUAUAUGUUUAUUGGUAAAUUGUGGCAAUGGACUUGCCCUUCCCAUUUUGAUUGGAUUGUCGAAUUCUAUCACUCAAAGAAUGAUAAAUAUACUAUCGAAUACAUAUGGAAAAAGCUCGAAAGGAUUAUCGGAAUUGAGCUAUGGUGUAAUUCGAUUAUUUUCCAAUAAAUUGUAAUCAAUAAUUGUCUGAAUAAACCGACUUACAGUCCCAUAGUCAGGAAACGCACUGUUCUGCUCUUCUCUGCUCUUUCGCUUCAGCUAGUCUAAGAAGUGUGCCUGGUUCUCGAUUGGUUGGUCGGUUAAAGGGGAAUCGACUGGAAAAGUAUGCUCUGGGG